rnacentral:rRNA from 1 species
GUUGUAAGGUUAAGAAAUUAAGCGUACACGGUGGAUGCCUAGGCAAUCAGAGGCGAAGAAGGACGUGUUAAUCUGCGAAAAGCGACGGUAAGCUGAUAAAAAGCGUAAUAGCCGUCGAUGUCCGAAUGGGGAAACCCAGUGU